UGCGUAGGCGGAAUGAUAAGUUAGUGGUGAAAGCCCCCGGCUCAACCGGGGAACUGCCAUUAAUACUGUCAUUCUUGAGUAUAGUUGAGGUGGGCGGAAUGUAUCAUGUAGCGGUGAAAUGCUUAGAUAUGAUACAGAACACCGAUAGCGUAGGCAGCUUGCUAAACUAUAACUGACGCUCAGGCACGAAAGCGUGGGGAGCAAACAGGAUUAGAUACCCUGGUAGUCC
rnacentral:rRNA from 1 species